rnacentral:siRNA from 1 species
ACUAUCCUUGCAAGUUGAACCAAA